rnacentral:rRNA from 1 species
GAUGAACGCUGGCGGCGUGCCUAAUACAUGCAAGUCGAGCGAACAGACGAGGAGCUUGCUCCUCUGACGUUAGCGGCGGACGGGUGAGUAACACGUGGAUAACCUACCUAUAAGACUGGGAUAACUUCGGGAAACCGGAGCUAAUACCGGAUAACAUGUUGAACCGCAUGGUUCAACAGUGAAAGACGGUCUUGCUGUCACUUAUAGAUGGAUCCGCGCCGCAUUAGCUAGUUGGUAAGGUAACGGCUUACCAAGGCAACGAUGCGUAGCCGACCUGAGAGGGUGAUCGGCCACACUGGAACUGAGACACGGUCCAGACUCCUACGGGAGGCAGCAGUAGGGAAUCUUCCGCAAUGGGCGAAAGCCUGACGGAGCAACGCCGCGUGAGUGAAGAAGGUCUUCGGAUCGUAAAACUCUGUUAUGAGGGAAGAACAAAUGUGUAAGUAACUAUGCACGUCGUGACGGUACCUAAUCAGAAAGCCACGGCUAACUACGUG